rnacentral:lncRNA from 1 species
CUCUGUUUCAUUUUCCUCUUCUCUCUAGUGUAAAAUUUGGCCUAGCUUAAGCUUCUUUCCCUGGCUGUGAAGUGAGCUGUGGGCUCUGUGGAUGCUUUGCUGUGACGGAGGGCCGAGGGCUGACCAAGUCGUGGGGAGGAUUUGUAUGUGGGAAGAGAGGAGAUGGCUGUGCAGCGUGCUCCCGAAUCUGCUCUGAGCUUGCUGAUGAGAUGUCAAAACAUUUCCCAAAGGCACUGAUGUCUCUUCACCGUAGGAAGACUGAGGAAAAGGAGAAGGAGAGAUGAAGGAGGUUCUUAAAGCCAGUGUGAGGAAUGAGACCUGCAUGUCCUAGUUCCCUAUGCAAGUGCCCUUUCCAGUAAAUUGUGGGGUAUGUUAUUAUCAAAUGAAAACCUCUGAGCUGAUUUUUCAGAGUUGGCAAAAAGAGGCAAUGAAUAGUCACAAUUAGAAAGCUAACUCUGACUUUUUCUAAAGAGGAAAAGUAUAGGACUGCCCAUUU